rnacentral:lncRNA from 1 species
GACGCUUUGAUGCCUCAUGCACCUCACAGAAAUUCAGACCCAGCUUUUUUGCCUUCUUUCAGCUGCUCUUCCUGAGACCAAGUUAGAAGUUGGGAGUGGGAAAUCCUUCACUGCCUAAAGUCCAGGAGGAGCCCUGCACCAUCUCUCUCUCACCUCACCCAGCAGACUAUGAAAUCGUGAGGCUGUGGAAGUGUGUGUACAGUGGGAUCAGAUCUGGAGCGCAGCCAGCCACCAACACAAAAAUGAGAGGCAAUAUCUGAACCUAUACUUCACAAAAAUAUUUCUGGUCUUGCAAAACACAUGGAGGCACUUACUAUUUUAAAUCUCUGCCUACAGCAAGAGUGUAAGAAAUACAAAUGAAGAUAACAGCUACCACAGACAGCAGCUCUGAUAGGCUCCUUCUGUUCUCAGUAGUAUCCAGAUUGUUUUCUUCAUGCACCAAUCCCAGAAUUCCCAGAAUUCCUCUUUUGGAGAAUCAAAGACGACUUUAGUGGAUUGGCUUUGGCUCACGGAAAAAGGAAGAAGUGACUUGAAAACCUUUUGCAAAAUAUACGGUGGCCCACUGCUUUUCAUUGUCACCUGUCACUCUGCAUGAGCAAGGCUGCCCUGCCCAGCACGAUGCUGACCCUGACAAUACGGAUGCUCUCCUUUGCAGCUGGGAGGCACGGAAGUGGCCAAACCUCUCAGGGCUGUUUGAAAUUCCCGAAGGUAAUCUCAUUCAUAUUUGUGGAACAAAUCCAGUUACAGAUCUUCCAUAACGAAGAAAGAAAGCUACAGGAAUUGCCGACUGUGUAUGUCAAACUGCUGCCAGACCCGUGUGUGGUAACGCAUUUAUCACAUUCAGAAAAGCAUUUCAAUAAACAACAACAGCAGCAGCAACAGGAGAUGGAUGUCCUAAGACAGAGAAUAGCACAUUCAGCAGGAAAGGAGGUUAAGUGUUUUUCAUUCAGGAAUUCAUAAUGAG